UGGGGAAUUUUGGACAAUGGGCGAAAGCCUGAUCCAGCCAUGCCGCGUGAGUGAAGAAGGCCUUCGGGUUGUAAAGCUCUUUUAGUCGGAAAGAAAGAGUUGCAAUGAAUAAUUGUGAUUUAUGACGGUACCGACAGAAAAAGCACCGGCUAACUACGUGCCAGCAGCCGCGGUAAUACGUAGGGUGCGAGCGUUAAUCGGAAUUACUGGGCGUAAAGGGUGCGCAGGCGGUCUUGCAAGUCAGAUGUGAAAGCCCCGGGCUUAACCUGGGAAGUGCGUUUGAAACUACACGACUAGAGUGCAGCAGAGGGGAGUGGAAUUCCAUGUGUAGCAGUGAAAUGCGUCGAGAUGUGGAAGAACACCGAUGGCGAAGGCAGCUCCCUGGGUUGACACUGACGCUCAUGCACGAAAGCGUGGGGAGCAAACA
rnacentral:rRNA from 1 species